GACGAACGCUGGCGGCGCGCUUAACACAUGCAAGUCGAACGGAAAGGCCCUGCUUUUGUGGUGUGCUCGAGUGGCGAACGGGUGAGUAACACGUGAGUAACCUGCCCUUGACUUUGGGAUAACUUCAGGAAACUGGGGCUAAUACCGGAUAGGAGCUCCUGCUGCAUGGUGGGGGUUGGAAAGUUUCGGCGGUUGGGGAUGGACUCGCGGCUUAUCAGCUUGUUGGUGGGGUAGUGGCUUACCAAGGCUUUGACGGGUAGCCGGCCUGAGAGGGUGACCGGCGACAUUGGGACUGAGAUACGGCCCAGACUCCUACGGGAGGCAGCAGUGGGGAAUAUUGCACAAUGGGCGGAAGCCUGAUGCAGCAACGCCGCGUGCGGGAUGACGGCCUUCGGGUUGUAAACCGCUUUCGCCUGUGACGAAGCGUGAGUGACGGUAAUGGGUAAAGAAGCACCGGCUAACUACGUG
rnacentral:rRNA from 1 species